UGGUCAGGGCUGCCACUCAGGGUGCCUCGCCAUAACUGUUAUUUUGUCCUUCAACUGCUGUGCUAAAUCCCCUCACUCACAGAAUUUUCUAAUGAAGAAACAGUAAAUUUUAAAAUUAAAUCAAAUCUAACCUAACUAAUCUCCUAACUUAAGGCUUUGCGUCUUAACCCCCUUGAAAAUUAAGAAAUUUAUAUCAUUGUUAUUUCUAAAUUUUUCAACCUAGUUCAACUGUGAAAAUGUUGAGAUCUAUUCAAUGAAACGGUUAAGGUUUGAUUGUUUCAUGGAUGCUGUAAAGCAGUAUAUAAUACCAUUACUUUUACAUGUGGUAAAGUUAUCCUUUUGUUACAGAGAACCAGCUGUAUCGCAAGAGAAGAAACAAAUGGGUUCAGAUUCCUUCAACACUGGGAGAAGUGAUGGAUAUUCUGCUUUUUUAUCAUGUCACAAGUGGCUGUCAUGCUGGUAUUGAUAAAACCAAGUCCAGGAUUUCUGACCAUUAUUACUGGCUUGGUAUGUCAAGGGACGUCAUUGCAUAUAUAUCAACUUGUACAACUUGCCAGACUUUUGAGGUUGUAAAGACACAAGCUCCCACACUUAAACAAAUUAAGGUGUCUCAACCCAUGGAAGUCGUAGGCAUGGAUCUUAUUGGACCACUAGCGAUGACCAAGAGUGGGAGUCAGUACGUAUUGACAAUUGUGGAUUACUUCACCAAAUAUGUACUGUUGUUCCCUCUUCCAAGAAAGGAUGGGACAGGUGUCAACAAUUGCAUCAAGCAGUACAUAAGCAUAUCAACAAUGACUUCUGCCAGCAAAUGGGAAUAAAAAGGUGUGUCUCCAGUGCUUAUCAUCCCCAGACCAAUGGUUUGGUGGAAAGAGUAAACGGUAUGGUGAAACGCCGAGUAAGCAAGCUGUUGGUUGACCGUGGCAAAAACUGGGACGAGAGUCUGCAUGACAUCAUUUUCUCAAUAAACGCUCAGCCACAGUCAGCUACGAAGUACACACCAUUUUUCCUAAUGUUUGGUCGGGAAGCCCACACACUUUUGGAGAUCAAAGGUGUGGACUCUGACACUGACAUCAUAGAAGAUGGCAAGCUUGAGGAAUUUGUAGAAGACCAUGCAACCACCUACGAAAAGGCAUAUGAAAAGGCUUAGAUCAACCAAACAAAAGCACAUGCCAAGGCAAAAAAGGCAUACGAAAAGAAAAAAUCCAAGGGGGUCAAAAGCUUUGCACUGCAUGUGGGCCAGCUUGUGCUGAAACGCCAGGCAGCCAACAUUGCACGCAAAGGUGGACAGUGUGAUCCACUGUGGACUGGCCCAUUUAGUAGUGUUGAGGGCAGAGCCUUGAGCCUCCAUCAACUGUCUUUACAGAGAGGUAACAACAGGCUGCAGCGUUGUGGAAUUCAGCAGUGGCAUGAUUAGGGAGACACCACAACUCUGGCUGGCAAUGGAGCACUCGCCCAGCUGUGGGGUCCAGCCAUUAAUUGAGAUCACCAGAACCUUUCUCAACUGUUUCCAUUGUCUCCACAAAAUAAUAUUAAUUAUCUUUCUUAACCCUUUCAUUGCUAAGCGCUCACAAUGAGACUCCCCUCAGGCGCGUUCACAGCGAGCUUUAGCACCACCAGCAAGUGACGCUAGUGCUCGCUCUUUUAACCUUUGUAUAAAAAAACUAUUUAUCACAGCUAAAAACAAAAACACCAUUGGAAAGAGGAGGCCAAGAUUUAUAAUAUUCGGUAAUGUAAGCCUCUCCUGCGAAAAUACAGGCACGUUCAGGGGGUGUUUCCUGUGAAGAUGUACAUUUAUGUGUGCGUGACGGUCAGCCGCAAGGCAACUACUGUAGAUCUCUUGAUGAUGGGUGCUGGCAAGGGAGUAUUGCCAACUGCAAACUUUACAACUAUUUGGUCAAAAUAUGAGUCAAGUGAUAGGUGAAGCUGUGCAAAAAUGUCACUAUAUUGGGCAAGAAUAUCCACCACUUGCUCAUCCGUAGAUUUUCUGUGCUUGGCUGACAUGAUUUUCCACCAAAUUUAGUGAAGAACCCACUCUAUUGGCAAUCGGACCUGUGUUAUGAGAAUUAGUUAUGGAACACUCACAUGUGGGAGAUUUGAGUGCAGCUGGAGCUCACAGCGAGUGUUUAGCGCCACCAGCAAAUACGCCUAAUGCCCACUGCAAACAUUUAUCAAUGAAAGGGUUACUAAAAUUUCAUUGCAGAUUUAUUUAUUCUUAAUGAAAUAUUGGCUUCUCCAUUUCCUUCCCUCAUACUCUCUCUUCACAUAUUCUUUUUUUUUUAUGAAAUAUUGGCUUCACCAUUUCAUUCCCUCAUACUCUCUCUUCACAUAUUCUUUUUUUUUUUAUGAAAUAUUGGCUUCUCCAUUUCCUUCCCUCAUACUCUCUCUUCACAUAUUCUUUUUUUGUAAUGAAAUAUUGGCUUCACCAUUUCCUUCCCUCAUACUCUCUCUUCACAUAUUCUUUUUUUUUGUAAUGAAAUAUUGGCUUCACCAUUUCCUUCCCUCAUACUCUCUCUUCACAUAUUCUUUUUUUUUUUUAUGAAAUAUUGGCUUCACCAUUUCCUUCCCUCAUACUCUCUCUUCACAUAUUCUUUUUUUUUUAUGAAAUAUUGGCUUCACCAUUUCCUUCCCUCAUACUCUCUCUUCACAUAUUCUUUUUUUUUUUUUAUUAAAUAUUGGCUUAAC